UACCUGAACAAAAGCGAUGCCCAGUCCGACUCCACCAAGCAACAGAGACAAUGCAUUCAAAUUGUUGAAGAUUUCUCCCAAACAUCCCUUCUGGUGCAGCGUGGGCGAGGUAGCGGUGCAGCUGGCGAUGGUCUUGUUAGCGACCACUUCGCGCGCGGCGCAGCACGAAUCGGGAAUGGGCAGAGUGUUGUUCUUCCAAUCACCAGGGCCGCUGA